rnacentral:rRNA from 1 species
UAGGGAAUCUUCGGCAAUGGACGAAAGUCUGACCGAGCAACGCCGCGUGAGUGAAGAAGGUUUUCGGAUCGUAAAACUCUGUUGUUAGAGAAGAACAAGGACGUUAGUAACUGAACGUCCCCUGACGGUAUCUAACCAGAAAGCCACGGCUAACUACGUGCCAGCAGCCGCGGUAAUACGUAGGUGGCAAGCGUUGUCCGGAUUUAUUGGGCGUAAAGCGAGCGCAGGCGGUUUCUUAAGUCUGAUGUGAAAGCCCCCGGCUCAACCGGGGAGGGUCAUUAGAAACUGGGAGACUUGAGUGCAGAAGAGGAGAGUGGAAUUCCGUGUGUAGCGGUGAAAUGCGUAGAUAUAUGGAGGAACACCAGUGGCGAAGGCGGCUCUCUGGUCUGUAACUGACGCUGAGGCUCGAAAGCGUGGGGAGCAAACAGG